GAUGAGUCUGCGAAAGCGUCUUUCAAACAGCAACAGUAGUUUGAGCGGACGUCUUUAGAUUCAAAAAAUUGUUUUUGAACUGAAGAGUUUGAUCCUGGCUCAGAUUGAACGCUGGCGGCAUGCCUAACACAUGCAAGUCGAACGGAGGUAGGGGCAACUCUACUUCAGUGGCGGACGGGUGAGGAAUGCGUCGGAAUCUACCCUAUGGUGGGGGAUAACACAGGGAAACUUGUGCUAAUACCGCAUGAUGUCGAGAGACCAAAAGCAGGGGACCGCAAGGCCUUGCGCGAUAGGAUGAGCCGACGCCCGAUUAGCUAGUUGGUAGGGUAAAGGCCUACCAAGGCGACGAUCGGUAGCUGGUCUGAGAGGAUGAUCAGCCACACUGGGACUGAGACACGGCCCAGACUCCUACGGGAGGCAGCAGUGGGG
rnacentral:rRNA from 1 species